rnacentral:rRNA from 1 species
AGUAGUCAUAUGCUUGUCUCAAAGAUUAAGCCAUGCAUGUGUAAGUAUGAACUAUUUCAGACGGUGAAACUGCGAAUUGCUCAUUAAAUCAGUUAUAGUUUGUUUAAUGGUACGUGCUACUCGUAUAACCGUAGUAAUUCUAGAGCUAAUACGUGCAACAAACCCCGACUUCCGGAAGGGAUGCAUUUAUUAGAUAAAAGGCUGAUGUGGGCUUUGCCCGCUGCUCCGAUGAUUCAUGAUAACUCGACGGAUCGCACGGCCCUCGUGCCGACGACGCAUCAUUCAAAUUUUUGCCCUAUCAACUUUCGAUGGUAGGAUAGGGGCCUACCAUGGUGGUGACGGGUGACGGAGAAUUAGGGUUCGAUUCGGAGAGGGAGCCCGAGAAAUGGCUACCACAUCCAAGGAAGGCAGCAGCGCCAAAUUACCCAAUCGACACGGGGAGGUAGUGACAAUAAAUAACAAUACCGGGCUCGUCGAAGUGCGGUAAUUGGAAUGAGUACAAUCUAAAUCCCUUAACGAGGAUCCAUUGGAGGGCAAAAUUACCCAAAUCGACACGGGAGGUAGUGACAAUAAAUAACAAUACGGGCUCUUCGAGUCCGGUAAUCGAAUGAGUACAAUCUAAAUCCCUUAACGAGGAUCCAUUGGAGGGCAAGUCCGGUGCCAGCACCGCGGUAAUUCCAGCUCCAAUAGCGUAUAUUUAAGUUGUUGCAGUUAAAAGCUCGUAGUUGGACUUUGGGGCCGGGUCGGUCGGUCCGCCUUUCGGUGUGCACCGGCCGUCCCAUCCCUUCUGUCGGCGUCGUGCCUGGCCUUAACUGGCGGGUCGUGCCUCCGGCGCUAUUACUUUGAAGAAAUUAGAGUGCUCAAAGCAAGCCCACGCUCUGGAUACAUUAGCAUGGGAUAACAUCACAGGAUUUCGGUCCUAUUGUGUUGGCCGCCGGGAUCGGAGUAAUGAUUAAGAGGGACGGUCGGGGCAUUCGUAUUUCAUAGUCGAGGUGAAAUUCUUGGAUUUAUGAAAGGCGAACCACUGAAAAGCGUUUGCCAAGGAUGUUUUCAUUAAUCAAGAACGAAAGUUGUGGGCUCGAAGGCGAUCGGAUACCGCCCCUAGUCUCAACCAUAAACGAUGCCGACCGGGGAUCGGGCGGAUGUUACUCUUAGGACUCCCGGCACCUUAUGAGAAAUCAAAGUCUUUGGGUUCCGGGGAGUAUGGUCGCAAGGCUGAAACUUAAAGGAAUUGACGGAAGGGCACCACCGGUGUGGAGCCUGCGGCUUAAUUUGACUCAACACGGGAAACUUACCGUGUCCGGACAUAGCAAGGAUUGACAGACCGGAGAGCUCUUUCUUGAUUCUAUGGGUGGUGGUGCAUGGUCGUUCUUAGUUGGUGGGAGCGAUUUAUGCGGUUAAUUCGAUAACUAACGAGACCUCAGCACCGCUAACUAGCUACGCGGAGGCAUCCAUCCGUGGCCAGCUUCUUAGAGGGACUAUGGCCGUUUAGGCCACGGAAGUUUGAGGCAAUAACAGUGUCCGUGAUGCCCGUAGAUGUUCUGGGGCACGCGCGCUUACACCGAUGUAUUCAACGAGUCUAUAGCCUUGGCCGACGGGCCCGGGUAAUCUUUGAAAAUUUCAUCGUGAUGGGGAUAGAUCAUUGCAAUUGUUGGUCUUCAACGAGGAAUUCCUAGUAAGCGCGAAGUCAUCAUUUCGCAUUGACUACGUCCCUGCCCUUUGUACACACCGCCCGUCGCUCCUACCGAUUGAAUGGUCCGGUGAAGUGUUCGGAUCGAGGCGACGGGGGCGGUUCGCCGCCCGCGACGUCGCGAGAAGUCCACUGAACCUUAUCAUUUAGAGGAAGGAGAAGUCGUAACAAGGUUUUCAUAGGUGAACCUACGGAAG